UUUUUAAACUUUUAAAUGCGAGCAUCCAAAUCACCUUUUUGAAAUUUUUUUUUCGCCAAUUUAAUUUGUUCUUCAGUUAGUCCGGACCUAAAGCGUUACAAGACGUGCCUGCGUUUUGCAAUAUUCCAUUUAAUGAAAUGGAACAAUGGAACAUUUUCGAAAUAGAUCGAAGUAAAAGCGGAGUGAUCGAGUAAAAAUCGCGCCAGGAGAAAAAAUAUUUGAAAUUAAAAAAAAUUCGGAGACAUCUUUUUGUGUUUUGCAUGUCAAACUAGCUACUGUCCAAAUUUGAGGGCAAACGAACAAAUUCCCUUUCAAAAGGUGAUUCAGACACUCGUAUUUAGGAGUCGUGAAAAAUUAGACAAUUCUUUAUAUUUCAAAAUUCUUUGUAUAGUUAGAUAGGCCAGCUCUAUAUACUGAAGCUUUAAUUUGAUAAGGGGUUUAGCUAUAUACAGCUUAAACCGGACGUGCUGUAUCUCUUGGACGAGAGACACCUCUGAAGGUAUGCAGUAACCUUAAGUACAAAAUUAAGAAUUCUUGGUAGGCUGUGAACUUAGAACAUGAUGCAACAUUGUGAACUUAGUACAUACAUGCUGCAAAAUCUCAAGAACCAAACCGUGCAGUAGCAAAUAAUAAGAUGUCAAUUUCAGGAAUUAUUUUGACAGAACAUUGCUGGCAUUUCAUCGUUGGUUAACAAAUAAAGAGAUGCUACUUAACCUAAGAACUACGACAGCAGAAUGACAUGUUCUAAUAUACUUUAUCCUGUACAUCUGCUACCUAUUGUUCAAAAAAAUACAUAACUAUUGAUUAUAAUAAACUUAUAUGGGUGACUCGGACCAGAAACCCAGUGAUGAAAUGGACGGUACUCUUAAACGGCAAAAUCGACAACAGACAUGCAUGGUUUCAUAGUUUUACAAGUUACUGAAAAUCCACGUGGGACACGGUAUUUCUGUUUUGAAGAAAAGCACAACUAAUGAGAGUCUUAUUAGGGACCGUACGCAAAACACGACGUCAACGGCGACGAGAACGUCACUAAACAAAAGAUUUAAAGAGUAGAACAAUGGCUAUGCUGGCAAUAUAAUUCUUGGUAAAUAUCUCUUUUCCGUCCUCUGCAAAACAACAACGUGAAAUGUCCAAUUUCCAAGUUUUUUGAUAACGGGACCCACAACGGCUAAUUUUUCGUAUUUUUAGUUGGAACUGAACGCACUCGUAGCAUAUUCAGCAGGGCCAAGCUUUAAUACCGACAAACACACUGAAUAAAUCUACGUAAAUACGAAAUUCCAAAGUCAAACAUAUGCACACUUUUUAACAGGCAUCGUCCUUGCCGUCGCCGUCGUGCAUGCGUAAUUAGGCACCUUAAGCAACAGACGUCGCCGACCUGACGAGGGCAACCGGAAACGUGACAUUUCUUUCUAGACGUCACUGCGCAUGCACAACACGUUGUGACCUGACGUUCCCCUGAAGAACGUGGGGUUUCACGUCGCGACGAAAACGUGAGUACUUAAUCUUUUGUUUUGAUCCCUUUUAGCUUGCUUUUGUGCUAUUUUGGUGCCGAACCAAGGUAAAGUUGCAUAAUGAUUGCCUUUAUGCUUAAAACAUAGUUUUGGAAGUAUUCCUGGACUCAUUUUUUCUCAACUGAAAAACUGUUUUUCGCAUGUCAAACUAGCCUUCAGCGAAGAGGUUGCUUUUACCUUUUUUUUAGUUUUGUUCAGAUUUUCUCAACGUAUAAUCGGAGAUUGCUAUAGCUUGAAAUAACAUGAAUUUUAUUUUGGCAAUCCCCUCGUCUUGGUAUUUCGUUUAACAUAGAGGCUUUUUUAAUCGACUCGAUGAAUUUUGUAUUCGAACAGUGUGUACAGGUAUUUUGUUAAUGUUUACAAGAGCUGACAAACUUCGCGCUACCAAAUUGUCUCGCCUGGAUUUUAUUUCUUGUACAUACAAGAUUAUUGCAUCCUUCGUAGAAUGCUGUUUACGAUUCUUUAUAAAAAGAGCUGGCAAAACUCCUGUAUUUGAGCGCCCGAUCAAUGUGUCGAAUGAAAAACGCAGUUAGCUGAGAUUUUGUUCAAAAUCUAUGUUUAGCAAUAAAAUCUAUGUUUAGCACAACAAGGUGUGUGUGUAAUCUUGGCAGUCUAAAAAUACACCUGUCUUUUUCUCAAUGAGCGGUGAUACAAACUUCGGUUAAAAAACUUAAUUAAUUGCUUUAGCAAUACACGUUUCACAUGUAAAAUAAUUUUUGCUCUUUACAUUUGACAUUUCAAAGCAGGCAAAGUUUAUUAACUUAAAUUGUUUCGUUAUUUUUGGCAAUGAUUUUACAUCUCUUAGUAAAACAUGAAUAGUAUAAGGUUUAAUUACAUCGAGUUAUUUUUAAACUUAAGUUUAUCUUCAACUCGUUGAUGGAGUGGACAGAACAAAAAGAGGUGAUGCUAGCCCGAGAAAUCCUUCUUUAAGGAUGGUAACUUGCUGUCGCGACCGCAACCUGAAGCCGUCCUAGUCCCAGUUUCUUAUCGGUCGUCACGUCGCCGUCGUCAACGAAAACGUCUGUUGCUUAAGGUGCCUAUUGGUUGAAUUGAGCUGACAAGGCCAUUAGAUCCGAUGCAAGUGAGAAUUUCUGAGGGAUCAGGUUUAAACAGAGGGAAACAUAUCCAAACGAAAACGAACUGUUGUAAGAGGUUUAAUAGGUAAACAUGUAGCUUAUAACUACGGACUUCCAAGUUUUCUAGGAAAAUGACCUCUUGUCAGCUAGGCCGAAAACGUUCUUGCAUGAGGCAGGAUUCAUUGAGCAACAUUUUUGCAACACAUUACAAAGAAAUUGCUAAAGAUUAAAAUCCAAAUUCAGUGUCUUCAACCUGAGGAAAAAAGUUCUCAGAUAAAGUUAAUAACACUCUAUUCUUCUUGUCUCUCCCAUCUUAGCGUCGUGCUCGAAGAGGGAUUGCACGAAAGACCGUAGAUAGCGACAUUGAAAGUGGAGAAGGGGCUUAUACCAAAUAAGGAAUGUUUAUGUCAGAAUAGAAUAUAGGACGAUCCAACUUCUUUCGUUCACAUAUAGAUCAAGGGUUAAGAUUUCAACUGAAUUAAAAUGGUACUUGAAAGCAGUAUCGGGGACUUAAAUAUCAUUCAGAGAAAUAUCAGUCACAAUGGACAACAUGUUUCACGUAUUCAGAUAUAUUAAAAAACAGAUUCUAAAUGUUACUACAGAAUCGUAGUUGUAUUCUAACUUACUUCACAAAAUCAGAAUUUUGUUUAAAAAUUGUUAAGAAUGAUAUUACGUAAUUAAAACGAAUUGUGGUUUAUAUCUGUCAGUAAUGGAUCGGGUACUAGGAGCUACGAAAUUAUCAGUAUGCCAAAUAGAUAGCAAACCAGAAAAUUCACCCGAAGCUAAUGUAACAUUCGAGCAGUAGAUCUCCCUAACCCUUGCAGGAUAGUGUCUCUAUAACUCUGAGAACAAGUUUUAAUGUAUUUAUAUAUUUAUUCAAGGUGUUGAUAAUUUUCCCACCAUAGGAUAUAAAUCACAACGUAUAAACCUAAGUACAUUUUAAUACAAAUAUAUUCGCAGCUCUGUAACUCUUAGAAGAAGGUAACUCAGAAAUAGUCUAAUAAAAAAGUUUGUUAACUUAAA
rnacentral:lncRNA from 1 species